CUGAGAAACCAGGUGAAUGUUUACCCACCCAGCCCUACUGAACACGUUCCUCACAGCCAUCACAUGACCCUCAGUCCAGGGAAACCCUUUGAACUGUGCAAACACACUCCGUACAUCACGAUGUGCUGACAGCGUGACCGUCCAAAUGAAGCACCUACAGAAUGUAAAAGUGAUGAUUAAAGUCAUGCUUAUUGUCUGCCACUGUAGAGGCUCCUCUUCGGACACGACCCGGCAGCUCAGUGUGUUGGUGGGUGCAGAUGUGACUCUGGGCUGCCUGUUUGAUAAACUGUCCAGGCUGGUGGAAUGGAGUGCUCUCACCAUUGAGUGGAAUGUGGUGGAUACACAUGCAGAUAAGAGCAUAGUGUACACCUUUGAGGAUGGAAGAGCGCAUGAGAACAGGGAGGGCUCUGCGGUGGACAGAAUGCACCUGCUACAGAGUGAUGCAUCUCUGCAGCUUCACAAUGUGACUGUGGGAGAUGAAGGGCUGUACACAUGCAGAAUCAUCACACCUGUGGUCUACACAGAGACCACCUCACUGGAAGUGCUGGCUCGGCCUUCAGUGUUGCUCCCAGAGAAGGCAGCAGUGACGGAGGGAGAGGAGAGGACGAUACAGUGUGACGUCACAGGUUUCUAUCCAGAGAAGCUGGCCGUGACAUGGCUCAUCCAGAACGGCUCCCACACGGUGCACGCAGGUUUGAGCGCCUUCUCCCGCGUCUGCACGGAAAUGGCCAUUCUCAAUGCAGAUGGCACCUUCAGCAUCCGCAGUGGCAUCACAAUGCACUCCUCAGCAGUGAAGGGUGGAGAGAUGUGCAUCAUGUGCCAGGUGGAGCACAAGACCUACAGCCGGCCGUACAACACAUCUGUUACACUGACGGUUCAGGCUCCGCCACAGCCUGUGUACAGUGCCGUUACUCUGAUAGCUGUCACCAGUGUCACCAGUCUGCUGCUGGUCACCGCCAUCAUUGGAGGCGCUCUGCUUCUCUACACCUACUUGUGUAAAACCCCCCCAAGUGUUUCUGAGAUCAGCCAACCCAGCAUCGUUUAUGCUCAGGUGCAGACCGACCUCAAAUGCACCAUCCAGGGAGCAGGACAGCGGGAGCUCAAUGUGAAGUGGUCUAAACUCAGAAGCAAUGCCGGCUCAGAGGAGCUGUCAGAGUGGGGCUCUCUGCUGGACAGGGAGGAUCUGAGUGAUCAGGCCUGUCUGCUGUCAGAUUGUGAACAUCACACAUCUGUCCUGACUGUGUGUCUGACUGUGGCUGAGGACCAGACCCAGUACCAGUGCGAGGUGCUCUGCAGGGGCCAGAGCAUCAUCAGACUGACCACAGUCCAGGUUACAGUGGAGCCGUCCUUCCUCCAGAUCACCAGCAUCCCUCAGAUCCCCAAGGUGGAGAGGAGUCUGGUUCUCUGCUGUCGGCUGGAGAACUUCUACCCCCAGGAGGUGGACCUGGAGUGGUCCAGGAACGACGGAGAGCCGGUCUGUGGCGUCACACACUUCGGACCUUUCUCCGACCACACCCGGCUGUACAGCGUGUGGAGCAAGAUCCAGCUGCUCAUGGCCAGAGAGGACGAGAGGGCCGUCUAUACCUGCCGGGUUUACCACUCCAGCUUCCCUGCUCCGGGGUACAAGGACGUCCUGUACCACAUCAACACUCAAGGAACUCCUCCUGAUGUGAUGUUCAUCGACUGCGAGCCUCCGUGUCCUCUGCUGGGCGAGGAGUGCACUCUGCAGCUGUGCAUCAAAGACUUCUGUCCGGAGGACGUGUCAGUGGCCUGGACUAAAGAUGGAGAGGAGGUUCCCUCUUUUAAUACCCCCCCGAGCCUGAACAUCAACGGCCUCUACUCCAUGUACACUUUCCUCAAACUCACCCCUAACAAUGAGGACCAGGGCUCCAAGUUCAGGUGCCGGGUGGCGCACAGCGCCCAGCAGGAGCCUGAGGAGAGGCUCUUCACCCUGCCGCUCACACACAGCCUGCACUGACCGGACACACAGCUGCUGAUGCCUCCACCCUGCAGACUCGUGAUGACUCCACCCUGCAGACUACUGAUGACUCCACCCUGUAGACUCCUGAUGACUCCACCCUGUAGACCCCUGAUGACUCCACCCUGUAGACUCCUGUUCCUACAGUUUAUCUGCAGUCUACACAUGUUUGAUUUAUCAGAGUGGGGAUGCCAUCCUACAGUGUAGUGUAAUGAAAAACUUGGGUCCCAGGUUCCUAAACAAUGCAAUAUGAAUAUAUACGAGACAUACAUUUAAAAAAACAAAACAAUAAAAGAAGCUCAGGAGUUUAGCAGUCUUGUGGCCUGUGGGAUAAAACUGUCCCUGAUACUGUCCACCUCUGAUAUGAUGCACACAUUUUAUUCAUGGUUUUAUCAUCUCUUAUAAUAUGUAUAACAAUGUUUUAUAUCCUGGAAACACACAAUAUAUUAUUAAUAUAAUAUUGAUACUAACUAUAAGUUAAGCCGGUGAUAGCAAAACAUAUUUCUGCAUUGUCUGCUGAGCACUGACUGCUAGAAAGCUUUGUAACUUUUCUAAAUCAUACACAAUUUGAACUAGAAAAGACAGACUGUGGGGGAAUUAAUAAAUUAGAAAAGAAGAUUUUUUGUAGGAUAUUGUAUUUAUACUCAGCAAAGUUUACUUCUGCUCAGUAUGCAUUCUCAUGAGUUCUCAUGCCCUCCAAGGAACUUUAGCAGUUUAUUUAAUAUCUGAAGACCUUUUCUACCUUGCAAUGUGAGGGCAAAUUAAUUCCCUCAACGUUACUAACAACACACACUAAUGUAAAGCUCCAAGAUUCAGUGAGAAAACAUUCAAUAAAUAGUGUUAAAUCAUUGUAUUGUACUAUUGAGCAUGCAUUUUUGAUUCAGCAAAUCUCCCGUAUUGUGGCUCUCCUGUUCCUUAUCAAGUAAUGUAAUGUCUCUGAAGAGUUGCAGCUCUAAAAGGUGGGAAUGAGAACGAUUCAUCUUCUAUCAGUUCUGUUUAUGGCACUUCUGUCCAAGGUGCAGCGUUAUGUAAGCGCCACAUCCUCAGGUUUCACUGCUGGAGUUCAUUAGCCUCCAUAAAGUCAGUCUGUAUGACAGAUGAUAGUAUCAGUAAAAGAAUUCAGUUGUAAAACUGCUUUUAUUAUUUUACAGUGUUUGCACAAUAAAUGUUAAACAGCGUUUCCAUGUAGACAGCUUUGUUAAAAGCCAAACUGCCCUGCUAAAUUAUAACAAAACAGACCCUGCAUUCUCAGUUUUAUUGACUAUUGAUGAUCAUUUAAAAGAGACGAGAAUGAUUACAUUUUAUUGAUCAUAAAAAAUGAUAACAUGGUGCAAAAAGGAAUUUAUGAUAACAGUUUUGCACAUCAAAAAUCUGUUUUGAAUAUUGAGUAGAACAGAAAUGAGAUUAGAACUCACAUCCAGUUAAUCUCUUGGGUUUACAAGGCAUUUGGUUUAAAUCAGUCUUAACAUAUAAAACUUUUCAUUUAGCACUCCCUGAAACUCUUUACAAAACACAGCUUGGA